rnacentral:lncRNA from 1 species
AUGGCCAAAACCAAGAAACCACCAUGACAUCCCUGCUUUUUUAUUGGUGAAGUCGUGGACAGCUGCCUGUCUCCUGCAUUUCAUCAAGGCCUUCAAAGGCAGAGGUGUCUCGGAGCUUUUGCCCUGACACUGUGAACCUCCCACCCACCGCAUUGGGAGUGUGGCGUCUUAGCCACUGGGCUACCAGGGAAGUCUUGAAGUGUGAACUUUAAAAUGGUUAUGAUGUUAAAACAAUACACCACAUAGUCACGACUGGAGUAAGAAGCAGAGAAAUGGCUAACAUGGUGAGUUUCACAUUACAUGUA